rnacentral:rRNA from 1 species
GAUGAACGCUGGCGGCGUGCCUAAUACAUGCAAGUCGAGCGAACAGACGAGGAGCUUGCUCCUCUGACGUUAGCGGCGGACGGGUGAGUAACACGUGGAUAACCUACCUAUAAGACUGGGAUAACUUCGGGAAACCGGAGCUAAUACCGGAUAAUAUAUUGAACCGCAUGGUUCAAUAGUGAAAGACGGUUUUGCUGUCACUUAUAGAUGGAUCCGCGCCGCAUUAGCUAGUUGGUAAGGUAACGGCUUACCAAGGCAACGAUGCGUAGCCGACCUGAGAGGUUGAUCGGCCACACUGGAACUGGGACACGGUCCAGACUCCUACGGGAGGCAGCAGUAGGGAAUCUUCCGCAAUGGGCGAAAGCCUGACGGAGCAACGCCGCGUGAGUGAUGAAGGUCUUCGGAUCGUAAAACUCUGUUAUUAGGGAAGAACAAAUGUGUAAGUAACUAUGCACGUCUUGACGGUACCUAAUCAGAAAGCCACGGCUAACUACGUG